rnacentral:lncRNA from 1 species
AAUUCAUGAAAGCUGAGCAAAUUAAAGAUGAGUCUUUAAAGAUAACACAAAAAGUUCCCAGCCAAGAUGGACGAAUAGGAACAACUCUGGUCUGCAGUUCCCAGUGAGACCAAUGCAGAAGGAGGAGGAUGAAGCUCAGAAAGUUCAGUUGACCUGAGAAAAGUCACACAGACAGUGACUAGCAAAACUGCAAGCGGACUAAUACUUACCUGAUUCGAAGUCUCCUGAUGGUUUUGCUAUGCCUCCACGUAGAAUGCCUAUCCAUUGCAAUUCCCUGCCUCAGGGACCAGUGGAAGAAGGGUGAGAGCAAAGAAUUGGAAAGAGAAGAUGUUGGCUUUCCUCUUUUCUAUCUGCAAGACCCCUGCCUAGACAUAUCUGUGUGGUCACAGAAUCUCAAGGCAGAAGAAUUUUUCUUAGUACAUAACAAAAUGGAGUCUCCUAUGUCUACUUCUUUCUACACAGACACAGUAACAAUCUGAUCUCUCUUGCUUUUCCCCACAUAUACAACCAGAAAACAUGCAUUGAAAAUAACAAUUGAAUGAAAUCCCUUUAUAAAAUGUUUAAUUGGCCAACCAGGUGACCAAAUGUACCUGAAGC